CUGAAAUGCCAUGUCUUCCAUUUAUCCACAGAACAGGUAUGGCACAGGCAGUGCUUGUGCAACUUACCCCCCUGCUCCUCCACACUACCCCAAGAAUGUGCCUGAGCCCUCUGUAAAGGCUACAUGUGAACCACCAUAGCCAAUCGAUUCCCCAGCCAGG
rnacentral:sRNA from 1 species